rnacentral:rRNA from 1 species
AACGAACGCUGGCGGCGCGCCUAAUACAUGCAAGUCGAGCGAGAAGACGUAGCAAUACGUUUGUAAAGCGGCGAACGGGUGAGGAAUACAUGGGUAACCUACCCUCGAGUGGGGAAUAACUAGCCGAAAGGUUAGCUAAUACCGCGUACGCUCCUUGGACUUCGGUUCAGGGAGGAAAGCGAUACCGUGGGUAUCGCGCUCUUGGAUGGGCUCAUGUCCUAUCAGCUUGUUGGUGAGGUAACGGCUCACCAAGGCUUCGACGGGUAGCUGGUCUGAGAGGACAAUCAGCCACACUGGCACUGCGACACGGGCCAGACUCCUACGGGAGGCGGCAGUAAGGAAUAUUGCGCAAUGGGCGAAAGCCUGACGCAGCGACGCCGCGUGGGGGAUGAAGGUCUUCGGAUUGUAAACCCCUUUCGGGAGGGAAGAUGGAACGAGCAAUCGUUCGGACGGUACCUCCAGAAGCAGCCACGGCUAACUUCGUGCCAGCCGCCGCCGUAAU